rnacentral:tRNA from 3 species
UCCCGAGUAGCUCAGUUGGUAGAGCAGCUGACUGUUAAUCAGCGGGUCGCAGGUUCGAGUCCUGCCUCGGGAG